ACACGACCGUACCGCAAACCGACACUGGUGCGCGAGAUGAGUAUUCUAAGGCGCUUGAGAGAACUCAGGAGAAGGAACUCGGCAAAUUGACACCGUAACUUCGGAAGAAGGUGUGCCUUUAGUAGGUGAACCAUUUACUUGGGGAGCCCAAUGAGGCUGCAAAAAAUCGGUGGCUGCAACUGUUUAUUAAAAACACAGCACUCUGCUAAGACGAAAGUCGACGUAUAGGGUGUGACGCCUGCCCGGUGCUGGAAGAUUAAAUGAUGGGGUGCAAGCUCUUGAUUGAAGUCCCAGUAAACGGCGGCCGUAACAAUAACGGUCCUAAGGUAGCGAAAUUCCUUGUCGGGUAAGUUCCGACCUGCACGAAUGGCGUAAUGAUGGCCACACUGUCUCCUCCUGAGACUCAGCGAAGUUGAAAUGUUUGUGAUGAUGCAAUCUCCCCGCGGAAAGACGGAAAGACCCCAUGAACCUUUACUGUAGCUUUGUAUUGGACUUUGAACAGAUCAGUGUAGGAUAGGUGGGAGGCUUUGAAGUGUGGUCGCUAGAUCGCAUGGAGCCAACGUUGAAAUACCACCCUGGUGUGUUUGAGGUUCUAACCUAGGUCCAUUAUCUGGAUCGGGGACAGUGCAUGGUAGGCAGUUUGACUGGGGCGGUCUCCUCCCAAAGUGUAACGGAGGAGUUCGAAGGUACGCUAGGUACGGUCGGACAUCGUGCUAAUAGUGCAAUGGCAUAAGCGUGCUUAACUGCGAGACUGACAAGUCGAGCAGAUGCGAAAGCAGGACAUAGUGAUCCGGUGGUUCUGUAUGGAAGGGCCAUCGCUCAACGGAUAAAAGGUACUCUGGGGAUAACAGGCUGAUACCGCCCAAGAGUUCAUAUCGACGGCGGUGUUUGGCACCUCGAUGUCGGCUCAUCUCAUCCUGGGGCUGUAGCCGGUCCCAAGGGUAUGGCUGUUCGCCAUUUAAAGAGGUACGUGAGCUGGGUUUAAAACGUCGUGAGACAGUUUGGUCCCUAUCUUCCGUGGGCGCUGCAGAUUUGAGGAAGCCUGCUCCUAGUACGAGAGGACCGGAGUGGACGAACCUCUGGUGUAUCGGUUGUCACGCCAGUGGCAUUGCCGAGUAGCUAAGUUCGGAAGAGAUAACCGCUGAAAGCAUCUAAGCGGGAAACUCGUUUCAAGAUUAGAUCUGCCGGGGCCUUGAGCCCCCUAAAGAGUCGUUCAAGACCAGGACGUUGAUAGGUCAGGUGUGGAA
rnacentral:rRNA from 1 species